AACGAACGCUGGCGGCAGGCUUAACACAUGCAAGUCGAACGCACCGCAAGGUGAGUGGCAGAUGGGUGAGUAACACGUGGGGAUCUGCCCAAUGGUACGGAAUAGCUCCGGGAAACUGGAAUUAAUACCGUAUGAGCCCGCAAGGGGAAAGAUUUAUCGCACUUGGAUGAACCCGCGUCGGAUUAGCUAGUUGGUGUGGUAAAGGCGCACCAAGGCGACGAUCCGUAGCUGGUCUGAGAGGAUGAUCAGCCACACUGGGACUGAGACACGGCCCAGACUCCUACGGGAGGCAGCAGUGGGGAAUAUUGGACAAUGGGCGCAAGCCUGAUCCAGCCAUGCCGCGUGAGUGAUGAAGGCCUUAGGGUUGUAAAGCUCUUUCGCCGACGAAGAUAAUGACGGUAGUCGGAGAAGAAGUCCCGGCUAACUUCGUGCCAGCCGCCGCAGUAAAAC
rnacentral:rRNA from 1 species